GCAACACGAGAUGACGUUUCACAGGGACACAAGAACUCGAGUCAAUAGAAGAACACAUAUUGGGAAACGCCCUAGGACCAACAGAGAAGACCCCCAGACCCCCUGUUCUGUGCCCCCGCAAAAGCUAGGGGAGAGCGGGGUAGCCCUGUGCAUGGCUGCGUCUUGGAGAGCCUGACCUCAGA